rnacentral:rRNA from 1 species
GACGAACGCUGGCGGCGUGCUUAACACAUGCAAGUCGAACGAUGAAGCGGUGCUUGCACCGUGGAUUAGUGGCGAACGGGUGAGUAAUACGUGAGUGACCUACCUUUGACUCUGGGAUAAGCCUGGGAAACUGGGUCUAAUACCGGAUACGACCAAUCUCUGCAUGGGGUGUUGGUGGAAAGCGUUAUGGAGUGGUUUUAGAUGGGCUCACGGCCUAUCAGCUUGUUGGGGAGGUAAUGGCUUACCAAGGCGACGACGGGUAGCCGGCCUGAGAGGGUGAACCGCCCCCCGUGGGCUGGAGAGCCGCCCCAGCCCCCUGGGGGGGGCAGCAGGGGGGAAUAUUGAAAAGGGGCCCAGGCCCGGUGCCGGCGCCCCCGGGGGGGGAAGACCGGCUUGGGGGUGGAACCCCUUUUUUACCAUCAAAAAACAAAAGGGGAGGGUGGGUAAAGGGAGGCCGCGGACAACCUACGUC